UACGUAGUCCCCGAGCGUUAUCCGGAAUUAUUGGGCGUAAAGGGAGCGCAGGCGGUUGGAUAAGUCUGACGUGAAAGUUUCACGCUUAACGUGAAAAGGUCGUUGGAAACUGUCUAACUUGAGAGCAGGAGAGGUAAGUGGAAUUCCUAGUGUAGCGGUGAAAUGCGUAGAGAUGAGGAGGAACACCAGUGGCGAAGGCGGCUUACUGGACUGCAUCUGACGCUGAGGCUCGAAAGCGUGGGGAGCAAACAGG
rnacentral:rRNA from 1 species